GGGCGGGGGUGCUAAUACAUGCAAGUCGAACGAGUUCUCGUUGAUGAUCGGUGCUUGCACCGAGAUUCAACAUGGAACGAGUGGCGGACGGGUGAGUAACACGUGGGUAACCUGCCCUUAAGUGGGGGAUAACAUUUGGAAACAGAUGCUAAUACCGCAUAGAUCCAAGAACCGCAUGGUUCUUGGCUGAAAGAUGGCGUAAGCUAUCGCUUUUGGAUGGACCCGCGGCGUAUUAGCUAGUUGGUGAGGUAAUGGCUCACCAAGGCGAUGAUACGUAGCCGAACUGAGAGGUUGAUCGGCCACAUUGGGACUGAGACACGGCCCAAACUCCUACGGGAGGCAGCAGUAGGGAAUCUUCCACAAUGGACGCAAGUCUGAUGGAGCAACGCCGCGUGAGUGAAGAAGGCUUUCGGGUCGUAAAACUCUGUUGUUGGAGAAGAAUGGUCGGCAGAGUAACUGUUGCCGGCGUGACGGUAUCCAACCAGAAAGCCACGGCUAACUACGUGCCAGCAGCCGCGGUAAUACGUAGGUGGCAAGCGUUAUCCGGAUUUAUUGGGCGUAAAGCGAGCGCAGGCGGUUUUUUAAGUCUGAUGUGAAAGCCCUCGGCUUAACCGAGGAAGCGCAUCGGAAACUGGGAAACUUGAGUGCAGAAGAGGACAGUGGAACUCCAUGUGUAGCGGUGAAAUGCGUAGAUAUAUGGAAGAACACCAGUGGCGAAGGCGGCUGUCUGGUCUGUAACUGACGCUGAGGCUCGAAAGCAUGGGUAGCGAACAGGAUUAGAUACCCUGGUAGUCCAUGCCGUAAACGAUGAAUGCUAGGUGUUGGAGGGUUCCGCCCUUCAGUGCCGCAGCUAACGCAUUAAGCAUUCCGCCUGGGGAGUACGACCGCAAGGUUGAAACUCAAGG
rnacentral:rRNA from 1 species